UAGGAAUCUGCCCUAUAGAGGGGGACAACUCGAGGAAACUCGAGCUAAUACCGCAUAGACUCUACGGAGUAAAGCUGGCCAAUGUAAAAGUUGGCUGGCGCUAUAGGAGGAGCCUGCGUCUGAUUAGCUAGUUGGUGGGGUAAAGCCUACCAAGGCAUUGAUCAGUAGGUGGUCUGAGAGGAUGAUCACCCACACUGGGACUGAGACACGGCCCAGACCUCUACGGGAG
rnacentral:rRNA from 1 species